GGUUGACACGUGGGCAUGAAUUGAAAAUAGAUUAAAUCAGUUUUGCUGAUAAAUGGAUGGAUUUUCUCUUUUUUUGGAAGACAGUGCUAAAGUUAGUGUCACCUAUUUUGUAUGCUUUCUCAGGCUUUUGAUAUUGCAGCAUCUAUGGAGUGAAUUUAACAGCAAGGUCAAUCCCAGACAGAUUCAUCAAUUCCCAUAAGUCAAGCUUUUUUUCUGCUGAUGGCUACUUCACUUCUGGUCGGUUCUUCGCCAAUAGAUAUCAUCACACAGCAUUCAAGUGAAUC